GACGAACGCUGGCGGCGUGCCUAAUACAUGCAAGUAGAACGCUGAAGGAGGAGCUUGCUUCUCUGGAUGAGUUGCGAACGGGUGAGUAACGCGUAGGUAACCUGCCUGGUAGCGGGGGAUAACUAUUGGAAACGAUAGCUAAUACCGCAUAAUAGUAGAUGUUGCAUGACAUUUGCUUAAAAGGUGCAAUUGCAUCACUACCAGAUGGACCUGCGUUGUAUUAGCUAGUUGGUGGGGUAACGGCUCACCAAGGCGACGAUACAUAGCCGACCUGAGAGGGUGAUCGGCCACAAUGGGACUGAGACACGGCCCAGACUCCUACGGGAGGCAGCAGUAGGGAAUCUUCGGCAAUGGACGGAAGUCUGACCGAGCAACGCCGCGUGAGUGAAGAAGGUUUUCGGAUCGUAAAGCUCUGUUGUAAGAGAAGAACGAGUGUGAGAGUGGAAAGUUCACACUGUGACGGUAUCUUACCAGAAAGGGACGGCUAACUACGUG
rnacentral:rRNA from 1 species